rnacentral:rRNA from 1 species
GAUGAACGCUGGCGGCGUGCCUAAUACAUGCAAGUCGAGCGAACAGACGAGGAGCUUGCUCCUCUGACGUUAGCGGCGGACGGGUGAGUAACACGUGGAUAACCUACCUAUAAGACUGGGAUAACUUCGGGAAACCGGAGCUAAUACCGGAUAAUAUAUUGAACCGCAUGGUUCAAUAGUGAAAGACGGUUUUGCUGUCACUUAUAGAUGGAUCCGCGCCGCAUUAGCUAGUUGGUAAGGUAACGGCUUACCAAGGCGACGAUGCGUAGCCGACCUGAGAGGGUGAUCGGCCACACUGGAACUGAGACACGGUCCAGACUCCUACGGGAGGCAGCAGUAGGGAAUCUUCCGCAGUGGGCGAAAGCUUGACGGAGCAACGCCGCGUGAGUGAUGAAGGUCUUCGGAUCGUAAAACUCUGUUAUUAGGGAAGAACAAAUGUGUAAGUGACUAUGCACGUCUUGACGGUACCUAAUCAGAAAGCCACGGCUAACUACGU